ACAGCAGUAGCCGCGGUAAUACGAGGGGGGCAAGCGUUGUUCGGAAUUAUUGGGCGUAAAGGGUGCGUAGGCGGUUCAGCAAGUCUCGUGUGAAAUCUUCGGGCUCAACCCGAAGUCUGCACGGGAAACUACUGGGCUCGAGUAAUGGAGAGGUAAGUGGAAUUUCCGGUGUAGCGGUGAAAUGCGUAGAUAUCGGAAGGAACACCUGUGGCGAAAGCGGCUCACUGGACAUUUACUGACGCUGAUGCACGAAAGCUAGGGGAGCAAACAGGAUUAGAUACCCCAGUAGUCCCUGUCUCUUAUAC
rnacentral:rRNA from 1 species